CUCCAACCCCGUCCAGGGCGUGGUCUCACCCAGUUCAUGAAGUAGCUGGUGAAAGUGUAGCCAGAGCCUUGCAGCAGAUUUUUUUCUGAUGCCUGAGGUGUGCUUAUCUCAGCCCCAGGAUGCAGCAGCUUCCUCUGGGUAUGGACACCUGUGGCGAGGAGAAGGCGCCAAAGCAAUGACCUGGGACGAGCUCUAGACCCCUCUUCAACCCUGAGAGAGGAUUCCCUUACCUGUAGCAGCGGCCAUCAGGAAGAGGAUGCUGCAGGUCGAGUCCAUCAUGGAACUUGUGCUCUGAGGGAUUCUGCAAAGGAUGGUGAUGAUUGCACCAUGUUCUGGGUCACAGCCACAUCAACGUUACCUCAGAGCCUGGCGGACCCAGUGCAUGUACUAAUUGCUGAAGGUGAAUCCCGACGUCACACAGGAGAGUUUCAGGGACCCCCAGGCUGCACCGAGCCUCCUCCAGACUCCACCAGCUGCACCUCACACUGCACAUCUGCAAACAGAUAAACAUCCUGCUCAGGUGAAUGUCACACAUGACCACUGUUUGUC
rnacentral:lncRNA from 1 species